GGACCUCACAGACAACCUGGGGGUCAGGACUUAUGGAUGAGCCACCUGCUGCCCUCCUCCAGCUCCAGCUCUACCUACAAGCAAGACUGCGCCACCGAAGGAGCCAGUCUACGCUUCAGCACCCGCGAUGUACUUUGGAGAGACAAUCAUCAGACAGACGUUCAUUCUACAAACAUCUCUUGAGCUGAGGGGACAGAUGGAGAGUGAGUUUCACCUAUUGAUUCAAUGCAGUUCUAUUUUCCAACAAGACUUUUCUGGACCGUCACAAGACCUCCAGUUCAACAUGGUAUGUGGAGUGUACUCAUUUAAAUCCACUGCUUCCUGAAAUCACAUGCAAAUGACAGGAAAGGAAUAAAAAAAGCAUAAAUCUCAAAGGAAACAAGAGAGGAGACAACAGAUAUGAAAAUAGAAAAAAUAAAUGUGGGAAGCUCUAAA